AGCCGAUGAAGGACGUUACUAACGACGAUAUGCUUUGGGUAGCUGUAAGUAAGCGUUGAUCCAGAGAUUUCCGAAUGGGGGAACCCAGCAUGAGUUAUGUCAUGUUAUCGACAUGUGAAUUUAUAGCAUGUCAGAAGGCAGACCCGGAGAACUGAAACAUCUUAGUACCCGGAGAAAGAGAAAGAAAAAUCGAUUCCCUGAGUAGCGGCGAGCGAAACGGGAAGAGCCCAAACCAACAAGCUU
rnacentral:rRNA from 1 species